GAUGAACGCUGGCGGCGUGCCUAAUACAUGCAAGUCGAGCGAACAGACGAGGAGCUUGCUCCUCUGACGUUAGCGACGGACGGGUGAGUAACACGGGGAUAACCUACCUAGAAGACUGGGAUAACUUCGGGAAACCGGAGCUAAUACCGGAUAAUAUAUUGAACCGCAUGGUUCAAUAGUGAAAGACGGUUUUGCUGUCACUGAUAGAUGGAUCCACGCCGCAUUAGCUAGUUGGUAAGGUAACGGCUUACCAAGGCAACGAUGCGUAGCCGACCUGAGAGGGGGAUCGGCCACACUGGAAGUGAGACACGGGCCAGACUCCUACGGGAAGAAGCAGUAGGGACUCUUGCGCAAUGGGAGAAAGCCUGACGGAGCAACGCCGCGUGAGUGAUGAAGGUAUUCGGAUCGUAAAACUCUGUUAUUAGGGAAGAACAAAUGCGUAAGUAAGUAUACAAGCAUUGACGGUACCUAAUCAGAAAGCCACGGCUAACUCCGUG
rnacentral:rRNA from 1 species